GUCAAGAUCGAAUUUCAACCACUCAUCAGAAAAUCAAUAGAUGUCCAGUGAAAGAAGGCUAAACUUUUUAUGAUAUUGGAUCUUGAUCAUUUGAGCGACUCAACUUAUAGGCAUAAAGAGGUUAGAAAUGCUAAAAAGACAGAAGGAGGGGAUAGGGAUUGGGGAUAGGGCCGACGUGGCGUGAAAAAUGCAAAUUAAGGGCCGUGGUCCUACUACCUUGGCCCUAUCCCCAAUCCUAGUCCCCUCCCCUGUAUUUGUUGCAGGUAAAAGUGAUCAGGAUUUACUCAAUGUAAAAAUCACAACCCUAAAGAUUGUCGAAAUAAAAGAUUAUAAACAAGGACACUAUGAUGCAUAAGUUGUUCUCGAUCUUCUCUCCCACUAUCUCUGUUGAGGGACCCUUGAGUGAUACGUUAAAAAAAAAAAUAAUAAUAAAAAUUAAAAAAAAAAAUUAUCCAACUUUUAGUUAGGUCAAAUAUGUUUCAUUAAAUCACAAAUGUGAUUUUAUAUAUAUAUAUCUUUUGUGUCUUAAUUAACUACGAAAGUUUAAAAUUUAGGUAAAAUACGUAUUGGUUUAUCACAAAAUAGAACUUUUACUCCAUUCCCACGGUCAAAUAAAGUUGCAUUGAAGUUUCUUGCAGCAUCGGAAUCUAGCCAAGAACUCGACUGAGGAGGAGCGACAUGGCCUCCAAUGAACAAUGAAUUUGCUUCCGAAUCAGACACAAUAUGAUUGAAUCGUCAGGUCCAUAAGCUCCCGGGCUCUGAUUUCUUCUGUAAUUGCUGGCAGCUCUCCUUUCUUCUUCAAGAAAGUGACCGAGAGACGAGGUGGUGUUCGUGCUUACGACAUCAGUGGUUUUUGAGCAUAGGGAGAAAAAACAACUUUUGUGCUUGUAACUCUUUUUAUUCCUCGUGGGUUCUGGAAGUCGUCCCCUUGUUGAUCUAUGUGAGAGCUCAAGAACGUUGGAAAGACCGAUGAGGCUUCCGAGAGUUAUACUCUUAUCGGGGAAGAAAGAACCGGUGGACUGUAAAUAUGGAAGAACAUCAAGAUUACAAGGACUUCGGCACUAAGACCAAGCCCUAGUUAUUCAUCAAAACAGCUGUCUCGUUCAUCCGAAUUCAUUCAUAAAUAGUUGUUAUAAAAUUCACAAUUUUUUCCUACUUUUUAAGUACAUAUUCUAUGUAAUAAUUGAUUUUAUUUAUUUAUAUAUUUUUUUAUCCAACAAACGCUUAGUUGAAGACGGGGUGAGGACUUUUUAGUUUUUACAAUUAAGGUGCGUUUGAUUGCAAAUAUGAAAUUUGCAAGGAAAGAAAAUAAAUUUCAGAAAAUUCAAUGUAUUUGAAUAAAUGUGUUCAAUUGAUUUAGUUUUCAGUCUUAAAAGUAUUAUACUUGUUCAUUUUUUAUUGAUGAAUAGAUGAGAUAGAAAGAGAGAGUGAAUUCCAUGAGAAAUAAAAUCAUAUUCUCUAAA
rnacentral:lncRNA from 1 species